rnacentral:rRNA from 1 species
GACGAACGCUGGCGGCGUGCUUAACACAUGCAAGUCGAACGGAAAGGCCCUGCUUUUGUUGGGUGCUCGAGUGGCGAACGGGUGAGUAACACGUGAGUAACCUGCCCUUGACUGGGGGAUAACUUCAGGAAACUGGGGCUAAUACCGGAUAGGAGCUCCUGCUGCAUGGGGGGGGUUGGAAAGUUUCGGCGGUUGGGGAUGGACUCGCGGCUUAUCAGCUGGUUGGGGGGGUAGUGGCUUACCAAGGCUUUGACGGGUAGCCGGACUGAGAGGGUGACCGGCCACAUUGGGACUGAGAUACGGCCCAGACUCAUACGGGAGGAAGCAGUGGGGAAUAUUGCACAAUGGGCGGAAGCCUGAUGCAGCAACGCCGCGUGCGGAUGCCGGCCUUCGGGUUGUAAACCGCUUUCGCCUGUGACGAAGCGUGAGUGACGGUAAUGGGUAAAGAAGCACCGGCUAACUACGUG